rnacentral:rRNA from 1 species
CCUACGGGAGGCAGCAGUGGGGAAUAUUGCACAAUGGGCGCAAGCCUGAUGCAGCCAUGCCGCGUGUGUGAAGAAGGCCUUCGGGUUGUAAAGCACUUUCAGCGGGGAGGAAGGCGUUAAGGUUAAUAACCUUGGCGAUUGACGUUACCCGCAGAAGAAGCACCGGCUAACUCCGUGCCAGCAGCCGCGGUAAUACGGAGGGUGCAAGCGUUAAUCGGAGUUACUGGGCGUAAAGCGCACGCAGGCGGUCUGUCAAGUCGGAUGUGAAAUCCCCGGGCUCAACCUGGGAACUGCAUUCGAAACUGGCAGGCUAGAGUCUUGUAGAGGGGGGUAGAAUUCCAGGUGUAGCGGUGAAAUGCGUAGAGAUCUGGAGGAAUACCGGUGGCGAAGGCGGCCCCCUGGACAAAGACUGACGCUCAGGUGCGAAAGCGUGGGGAGCAAACAGGAUUAGAUACCCCGGUAGUC